UACAUGGGGUGCAAACGUUGCUCGGAAUUAUUGGGCGUAAAGCGCGCGUAGGCGGUUACUCAAGUCGGAUGUGAAAGCCCUCGGCUUAACUGAGGAAGUGCACCCGAAACUGCUGUGCUAGAGUGUGGGAGAGGCGCGUGGAAUUGCAGGUGUAGCGGUGAAAUGCGUAGAUAUCUGCAGGAACACCCGUGGCGAAAGCGGCGCGCUGGACCACUACUGACGCUGAGGAACGAAAGCUAGGGGAGCAAACAGG
rnacentral:rRNA from 1 species